rnacentral:lncRNA from 1 species
AUCCCAGCUACUUAGGAGGCUGAGGCAGGAGAAUCACUUGAACCUGGCAGGCGGAGGUUGCAGUGAGCCAAGAUCACGUCAUUGCAUGAGCAUUGAUUGAGUGUUCAUAAUAUAUAAUGAACUGUGCUGGGUACCUUAUGUACAUGGCCUCCUUUGUUGAUCCUGUAUAACUCUGUGAAGUGAAAGGUAUUAUCUUCAUUCUUACAAAGCAGGAAAAUGGGCCUCAGUGUCAUGACAGUAGGUAAUGCUGCUGCAACUGGAGUCUCAGGUUUGUCCCAUCCCAAUGCCCAUGCUCCUCCCAUGUGCUGGACUACUCCAGCCUUUCAACAAUGACAGUGGGGGUCUGAUCACAAAAAUUCUUGAUGGAAAAUGAGUUCUGUAGUUUCCAGACCCUAAAUCUUUCAGUUUGGUACUACAUUUUUUCUGUGAAAUGAAAAUAGAUGAUAGUAAAAUUUAUUUUUCACCUCUGUUG